UGCUCUAUUCUAGCUUACUCCUGUUUGUAGCUUCAAAAUUAUCAAGGGUGUCUGACGUAUACAUUAGUAACUUUUUUUCUUAGUGACAUUAGAAGAGAGGCACCAAGAGGGCAGAACUCUGUUCUGUGGCUGUACUGCCAGCACCUUAUUGUGCCCAGCAUAUGAGGGAGCUGCUCACAAGUCAUUUUUAAGCUAAGCUUGGAUACUGUGAGAGCAAGACUAUAAAUAUAAAGCACAUUUCAAUUCUUUCUCAAGGAAAUCUUCCUUUCCCCUCAUGUUCAGAAGCUGUUUGCAGCCCUGAGGCUGCUGUGCAGAGCUUGGCUUCUGCCUUCCGGAGGCUGCAAUACCCUCCAGGGUCUGUUUGCUGCAGAGGUUUCGGUCCCACCUUCCCUGAAUUUCAGGUUACGUCUCGCUGUUCAAGUCCCAGAGCGCACUGGUGAGGCUCUGAACCAAGAGGAUAAUCUGCAGGUCGGAGCCACUCUCAGCCCCUCCGCCUCCGCCUACCACUCUGUUUUCUCUUCGUUUCUGGCAGCUGGGGUUUCCUUCUCUUUUGCAGUCAGCUGUGUGUAUUUGUUAUGUUUUAUGUCAUAUUCUGAAUGUGGAGCUAUGGGCUGGUGGUGGUAGCAAGAUUUAUGUUAGUUCAGUCUUCCCCGCCACCAAGAUUCCUAGGGUGAAAUUGUGUGAGGGUAAAAAAAGAGACCAUUUUGGAGUUUUCGCUUUGGCAAAGGGGCUUAAGGAUUUGGCAUUGUCACUGCAGCGGCCCAGGUCACUGCUGUGGCACGGGAACUUUCACAUGCCAUAGGCAUGGCCAAAAAUAAACAUCUUAAGACACUGUUUUUCAGUUUUCUAUUACACUGUAGUAAAAUUCACUUAGUGUUACACUUAGAAAAGCAGAACAAAUGAAGAAAAUCCCAACUCAGGCGUUCCCAUCGUGGCUCAGCGGUUAACAAACCUGUAUCCAUGAGGAUGCAAGUUUGAUCCCUGGCCUUGCUCAGUGGGUUAAGAAUUAAGUGUUGCCAUGAGCUGUGGUGUAGGUCACAGAAGUGGCCUGGAUCUGGCGUCGCUAUGGCUGUGGUGUAGGCCGGCAGCUAUGGCUCCGAUUAGACCCCUAGCCUGGGAACCUCCAUAUGCCAUGGGUGCAGCUCUAAAAAGGCAAAAAUAAAUACAUAAAUAAAUAAGAAAACACAAACUGAGAGUUGGAAGAAAAUGUUUAUUUAGUUAAAAGGUAUGAAGGUACUGGCUUUCUAAGCCAGUAAGAGUAGGGAGAGGAGAAAUUACAAAUGAGGGAUUCUGCGGGAUUCCUUUAAAACAUGUUUAGUGAGGAAGUGAUUUGGACAAAACCUUUCCAGGCAACAAAGGUUCAUAUACCAACACCACCUCACUGAACGGCAUCUAACAACCAGCUAAUUUUAUCAGUAUCAGCAGGGCUAAGAAUAACUUUCUCUACACCUUUGCUAAGGAAAACACCGUCAAUGAGGACCUAGUUGGCUUUAAUGCUUUCAGGGUCUCAGGUUCCCAAAAAUUAACUGUAGGAUGAAGUAGAGACUUGCUUUUUUUUUUUUUUUUUGGCUCCAUCUGUGGCAUGCAGAAGUUCCCAGGCCCAAGGAUUGAGCCUGAACCUGCACCACCGCAAUGACAAUGCCAGAUCCUUAACUGGCUAUGCCACACGGGAACUCCCUAGACCUGCAUUUCUGUGCUGAGAAAUAACUGAGUAUCUUCUAUCAAGCAGGCACAGUGUUGGGACUACACGAAUAUUAUCUCCUAUUGAUCAUUCUAAGAACUCUAGAAAAGACUUGUGCUCUGGUCUAUCCGGAGCACCACCAGAGGACUAACUCUAGUCCCCUUCACAGCCUCCAGUCUACUUUUCUUACUGUUAUACCAAGCACCAUGAAAUAGGACCACACUGUAGAGCGAGAGAGAAAAAAGUCCUGCAGCUAGAAAAUGGCAGAUGCUGUGGCAGGAACCCAGCACCUUGACUCCAAGAUCAACCUCUUUAUACUGUCAUUAUGCUGCCUGCAUGCAACUCUGACUUUUAUUCAUGUUUAGUGGAUAGUUCUCCACCUGCCAGUUACUUUCUUACUGUAACUUUUUUAAUAAGGAAAACCAUGUGAAGAAGCAAAGUAAAAAAACUAUCUAAUCCUUGGGAGUACAGUGGCAAUUAAGUAGCUGUUUAAAAAAAAAAAAAAAAGUGGUUUGAGAACAUGACGAGAAUUUCCGAGAACACUUCUACUGGUCACCUUUGCUCCAGCAUUAUCGUCCACUGAGAGAGGGAGGGGACCCUAUUUAAAAACAAGAAUACAAUUUUAUUCUUUCAGCAAAAUUUAUAAAGUCAGACAUCGAAUUUAUGAAGACAAAUAAACCUGUUUCUGUCCUCAAAGGGCUCAUAAUCCAAGAGGAGAACUAUACAUGCAGAUAAACUGCUGACAAUUUCAGGACUGGUGACAAUUUCAGGACUAGUGGCAGUGCCUAACUAGAAAGUUAGAAGACACACUUAAGGCACAAAGAGAGGACCGAGGAGAUCCAAGAUCCAGGUAAUACUAAGACAUCGGAACUUGAGUUUUGAAGAGUGGAUUAGUUCCCAAGGGCUUAGUUUGUGUCAGGCAGCGUGCUAAAUGAUUAUCUGGAUUAUCUAAUUAAAUUAUCAUUACAAGUUAGGAAAUAGCUAACUCCAUUUUACAGAUGAAUCCAGGUGGUUUAACAUAGAACUCAAAAUGCUAAAUAUUGCAGGGAGUUCCCAUCGUGGCGCAGUGGUUAAAUGAAUCUGAUUAGGAACCAUGACGAUGUGGGUUCGAUCCCUGGCCUCGCUCAGUGGGUUAAGGAUCCGGCGUUGCCGUGAGCUGUGGUGUGGGUGACAGAUGUGGCUCGGAUCUGGCUCGGAUCCUGCAUUGAUGUAGCUGUGGUGUAGGCCAGCAGCCACAGCUGCGAUUUGACCUCUAGCCUGGGAACCUCUAUAUGCCAAGGGUGCGGCCAUAAAAAGACAAAAAGAGGAGUUCCCGUCGUGGCGCAGUGGUUAACGAAUCCGACUAGGAACCAUGAGGCUGCGGGUUCGAUCCCUGCCCUUGCUCAGUGGGUUAACGAUCCGGCGUUGCCGUGAGCUGUGGUGUAGGAUCCCGAGUUGCUGUGGCUCUGGCAUAGGCUGGCAUUACAGCUCCGAUUAGACCCCUAGCCUGGGAAACUCCAUAUGUCACGGGAGCGGCCCAAGAAAUGGCAAAAAGACAAAAAAAAAAAGGCAAAAAGACAAAAAAAAAAAAAAAAAGCUAAAUAUUGUAAGCUACUGAUAUACACAAACACACAAUAAAACAGAUCACUGGAUGAAGUCAGAGGUAAAGGAACUUACCACAGUAUAAUGUUCUCAUUUACAAACAAGGCAAAUGAAAUCAGUCUGCUUCAGGAAUCAGCCAAAGGUCACACAACAGAAAUCGUCUUUUAUUCUCUCCCCAGCCUGUCCCUUGUAUGACUGCUUUUUCCUGGAAAUGCUAUUCUCUUCCUGCUUUUCCCUUUAUCUCCUUCAAACAUUCUGUCACUGAAAGUCACCCAGAUGACAUGUCAAGGGCAAAGUCAUUAAACGAGUGCAGCACAAGGACACACGGUUUGGCAGGUGAGCCUAUAUUUAAACAAGGUAUUUACUGUAAAUAUCAGUGUUUUAUAAGCAAUGAUCUGAAAAGACUGAGAAACAAGUAAAACAGGUCUGUCAACAUCUAUGAACAUGCUUCUCACAUACUCAACUCACUACACACAGAAGUAAUGCCGACAAGGCCGGCAUUCCAAUCCCAGGACGUCCACACAGCUUCAGGGAAGACUUUGCUCUGGUCUACCCAGAGCCAUUGCCAACCCUUACGGUUACACACCCUGUACGGUACGCCUACCUUCAGUUUCCUAAGCACCUGGCUUAGUCUUCCCAAUGUCAGCCCUGCGAGAUUUUUUUAUCUGCCCUAUCUGAGCUGCUUGCGAUCUAUUCAAUCUUUUUUUUUUUUUUUUCAAAUAUAUAAACAAACAGUAUCCUGUUUAGUUUGAAAUGAAAACUUCAAAUACUUUUGUGGAAAUAAAAAGUUUAAAUUUCCUUAGGUUCAUAAUCAUUCUUAUUACAUGUGCAGUUUUUAAAACAUAUUUAAAGUUUCCAUGUA
rnacentral:lncRNA from 1 species